rnacentral:rRNA from 1 species
AGUGAACGCUGGCGGUAGGCCUAACACAUGCAAGUCGAGCGGCAGCACAGUAAGAGCUUGCUCUUACGGGUGGCGAGUGGCGGAAGGGUGACGAAUACAUCGGAAUCUACUUUUACGUGGGGGAUAACGUAGGGAAACUUCCGCUAAUACAGCAUACGACCUACGGGUGAAAGCAGGGGAUCUUCGGACCUUUCGCGAUUGAAAUAGCCGAUGUCGGAUUAGCUAGUUGGCGGGGUAAAGGCCCACCAAGGCCACGCUCCGAAGCUGGUCUGAGAGGAUGGACAGCCAGACUGGAUCUGAGACACGGUCGAGACUCCUACGGGAGGAAGCAGUGGGGAAUAUUGCGCAAGGGGGGCAAGCCUGAUCCAGGCAUACCGCGUGGGUGAUGAAGGCCUUAGGGUUGUAAAGUCCUUUUGUUGGGAAAGAAAAACAGCAGGUUCAUACCGCGCUGUUCUGACGGUACCCAAAGAAUAAGCCCCGGCUAACUCCGUG